CUUUGAAAAGAGGGUACCAAAGAGAUUGACUUGAAUCGAGCCAUUUCAGCCCAUGAUACAAGAAACAUGUUGGCUGAGUAGGCAUCUGCUAUUCGAUGAUCAAAUGUGCAUGCCACCACUAUUCCGCCGCAUCUAAGUUCUGUUGCCUGUAAGUAUUAUAUACAUACAAAUUUAGUUCUCGUUUAUUUCCAAAAAGAAAAGUAGUUUAGUUCUCGCUAAAAAUCGCUCAAUAGGUAAAAACUAAAAUUGAAGCUUUAAAUUAACUAUUAAAGUUCCUAAUAUUUAGCUACCAACUUCAAAUAUAGAAGUAAUUAAAGUCAACAUGAAGAAUAUAAAAGGAAAAUAUUAUUUUUUUGUUAAUUAUCAUAGAUAAUAUAUUGUUAAUGAAUAAUUCCUUAGCCUUAUUCUAUGAUUAUUAACAAAUUCUGACUCUCAGGACAGUCAUCAUGUAUGCUACUACAUGAUGAUAUAUAUUGUUAUUUGUUUCAUAUUGAUUAAAUUGUGGCAUAGAUGAUCUAAAACUUAGACAUAUUGCAGUAUUCUAAUAGAUUUAAAAAAAAAAAUCAUUUUGGGUGGUCUAGAAGCAGGCCGUAAAGGAAGUUGUCUCCCCCAUCAAAUUUAUCGUCAUCUAGUGAAAAGGGUGAAUAAAAAUAUUUCCCAAGUCUUUUGGUUAUAAUUGAGAUAUUAAUUCUGAGUCAGAAGGAAUGAAUCUGAGUGUGUUUCUUUGUUAUUAUUCUGACGUUAGGGAAAUGGUUGAAGUUAAAGUAGAACAUCCUUUAUAAUACCUGAACUGAGAGCACUCCAUGUUUCUUCUCAGGUACGAGUUUGCCUUCAAUGCUUUCAUCAGGGUUAUGCAAGUCGAGGUCUCGAAGCUCAACAUCAGCAUAAGCUUCUGCGAAAUCCACCCCACGGUUGUUACAAAGCAGCUCGGGUUCGCCCACAGUGUUAGCCACAACCUCAC
rnacentral:lncRNA from 1 species